rnacentral:rRNA from 1 species
GAUGAACGCUGGCGGCGUGCCUAAUACAUGCAAGUCGAGCGAACGGACGAGAAGCUUGCUUCUCUGAUGUUAGCGGCGGACGGGUGAGUAACACGUGGAUAACCUACCUAUAAGACUGGGAUAACUUCGGGAAACCGGAGCUAAUACCGGAUAAUAUUUUGAACCGCAUGGUUCAAAAGUGGAAGACGGUCUUGCUGUCACUUAUAGAUGGAUCCGCGCUGCAUUAGCUAGUUGGUAAGGUAACGGCUUACCAAGGCAACGAUGCAUAGCCGACCUGAGAGGGUGAUCGGCCACACUGGAACUGAGACACGGUCCAGACUCCUACGGGAGGCAGCAGUAGGGAAUCUUCCGCAAUGGGCGAAAGCCUGACGGAGCAACGCCGCGUGAGUGAUGAAGGUCUUCGGAUCGUAAAACUCUGUUAUUAGGGAAGAACAUAUGUGUAAGUAACUGUGCACAUCUUGACGGUACCUAAUCAGAAAGCCACGGCUAACUACGUGCCAGCAGCCGCGGUAAUACGUAGGUGGCAAGCGUUAUCCGGAAUUAUUGGGCGUAAAGCGCGCGUAGGCGGUUUUUUAAGUCUGAUGUGAAAGCCCACGGCUCAACCGUGGAGGGUCAUUGGAAACUGGAAAACUUGAGUGCAGAAGAGGAAAGUGGAAUUCCAUGUGUAGCGGUGAAAUGCGCAGAGAUAUGGAGGAACACCAGUGGCGAAGGCGACUUUCUGGUCUGUAACUGACGCUGAUGUGCGAAAGCGUGGGGAUCAAACAGGAUUAGAUACCCUGGUAGUCCACGCCGUAAACGAUGAGUGCUAAGUGUUAGGGGGUUUCCGCCCCUUAGUGCUGCAGCUAACGCAUUAAGCACUCCGCCUGGGGAGUACGACCGCAAGGUUGAAACUCAAAGGAAUUGACGGGGACCCGCACAAGCGGUGGAGCAUGUGGUUUAAUUCGAAGCAACGCGAAGAACCUUACCAAAUCUUGACAUCCUUUGACAACUCUAGAGAUAGAGCUUUCCCCUUCGGGGGACAAAGUGACAGGUGGUGCAUGGUUGUCGUCAGCUCGUGUCGUGAGAUGUUGGGUUAAGUCCCGCAACGAGCGCAACCCUUAAGCUUAGUUGCCAUCAUUAAGUUGGGCACUCUAAGUUGACUGCCGGUGACAAACCGGAGGAAGGUGGGGAUGACGUCAAAUCAUCAUGCCCCUUAUGAUUUGGGCUACACACGUGCUACAAUGGACAAUACAAAGGGCAGCGAAACCGCGAGGUCAAGCAAAUCCCAUAAAGUUGUUCUCAGUUCGGAUUGUAGUCUGCAACUCGACUACAUGAAGCUGGAAUCGCUAGUAAUCGUAGAUCAGCAUGCUACGGUGAAUACGUUCCCGGGUCU